rnacentral:rRNA from 1 species
UACGUAGGGUGCGAGCGUUGUCCGGAAUUAUUGGGCGUAAAGGGCUCGUAGGCGGUUUGUCGCGUCGGGAGUGAAAUCCACUGGCUUAACUGGUGGCUUGCUUUCGAUACGGGCAGACUAGAGGUAUGCAGGGGAGAACGGAAUUCCUGGUGUAGCGGUGAAAUGCGCAGAUAUCAGGAGGAACACCGGUGGCGAAGGCGGUUCUCUGGGCAUGUCCUGACGCUGAGGAGCGAAAGUGUGGGGAGCGAACAGG